GACGAACGCUGGCGGCGUGCUUAACACAUGCAAGUCGAACGGAAAGGCCCUGCUUUUGUGGGGUGCUCGAGUGGCGAACGGGUGAGUAACACGUGAGUAACCUGCCCUUGACUUUGGGAUAACUUCAGGAAACUGGGGCUAAUACCGGAUAGGAGCUCCUGCUGCAUGGUGGGGGUUGGAACGUUUCGGCGGUUGGGGAUGGACUCGCGGCUUAUCAGCUUGUUGGUGGGGUAGUGGCUUACCAAGGCUUUGACGGGUAGCCGGCCUGAGAGGGUGACCGGCCACAUUGGGACUGAGAGACGGCCCAGACUCGUACGGGAGGCAGCAGUGGGGAAUAUUGCACAAUGGGCGGGAGCCUGAUGCAGCAACGCCGCGUGCGGGAUGACGGCCUGCGGGUUGUAAACCGCUUUCGCCUGUGACGAAGCGUGAGUGACGGUAAUGGGUAAAGAAGCACCGGCUAACUACGUG
rnacentral:rRNA from 1 species